GAAGACAUCAAUUAUUUUUUCUCUUGUUAUUCUCCUGUUCCUUGCAGGUACCAAUUCCAUUUAUCUGCGUGUAUGUACUCCAACGUCUCCCAAUUCACACCUUUGCUUCGCGAUUCUUCGAUGCGUUAUCUUCCUCCGCCGAUUCUUCUUUAAUUUUCUUCCCUUUUUAUCCCAAGUUAACUAAAUUUUGUGACAUCUAUAUUUCCAGGUAAGAUAAGGGAGAGUUCUUUGUUGGUUGAUGGACAUGCAGAAGAAGACAGCAUUCAACUAAAACAAAAGCAGAGAUUUGGCUGUGAUAGAAAGGUUGCGGGCUUAUUGUAAUGGGUGCUCCUAAGCAAAAGUGGACCGCAGAGGAAGAAGCGGCAUUGAAAGCUGGAGUUGUCAAACACGGGGCUGGAAAAUGGCGCACCAUACUUACCGACCCAGAGUUCAGUUCCAUUCUGCGCAUGCGUUCUAAUGUUGAUCUCAAGGACAAAUGGAGGAACAUAAAUGUGACAGCAAUAUGGGGAUCAAGGCAGAAGGCAAAGCUUGCUCUUACAAAGAACCUACUACCAUCCCCCAAAAUUGACAAUAAUCACAUGGCCUUGAGUACUGCAGUUCAACGUGACAGAGGAGCAGCAGAUCCCAAGCCUCUGGCAGUUUCUGGUGGAAUAUCUCCUAAUUCAAAGGAAAAAGUAUCAAGGCUACAGAACUUCCAGUUGGAUAAUAUUAUAUUAGAGUCUAUUAUCAAGUUGAAGGAGCCAAAGGGUUCUGACAGGGCAGCAAUUGCUUCAUAUAUAGAGGAUCAAUACUGCUCUACACCAACCCUCAGAAAGUUACUGUCAACAAAACUGAAGCACAUGGUGGCGAGUGGAAAAUUAAUGAAGGUAAAGCAUAAGUACAGGAUUGCAACAAAUUUAACUAUAUCUGAGAAAAGAAGAUGUUCUUCCUUGUUACUCCUGGAAGGGAGGCCCAAAGAUUCUCCAAAAACUGAGAAGACUGGUGUCAACAUUCUUUCAAAAUCUGAAAUUGAUGCAGAGCUAUCAAAAAUGAAGGGUGUGACACCACAAGAAGCAGCAGCUGCUGCUGCAAAAGCAGUUGCUGAGGCGGAAGCCGCCAUUGCGGAGGCUGAGGCAGCAGCUAGGGAGGCAGACGCUGCAGAAGCCGAGGCAGAGGCUGCACGAGUGUUUGCAAAAGCAGCAAUAAAGGCUCUAAAAUGCAAGACGCUUCACGUUUGAAACUGUUUUCAAAUUUGAAAUCGUAAAGAACUAGUCACGAAGGACAACUUCAUCAUUGUGCCAGGAUUAUCCUCAGAAUAGCAUGUGACAAUAUCUUAAUGGUGUCAGCUUCUGCACUGCUGAUAUGACCAGUAUAUCAGUUUGAGCUCAUAAUUCUGCUGCUAGACUUCUUGCAUGUAUUCAAUUACUGUAUAUAAUUUAGGUUUGUAAAUUUGGAACAUGUGGGGAUUGAUCCAUGAAACAUUUUGUCAGGAGUCCUUAAGAGCGUAUUUAUUAUUUUUUUAUCUUAUUUUAAAGAAAGACGAUGAGGCGAGAAUACAAAUUAUUAGUGGAAGAGUGGAAGUAGUGAUUGAGUAUUAUGAUGGAACCGUGUGAUAGACAUCCUAUAAUAGUAAAUGGAAGAAUACAGAUUUUAUUAGAAUUUUCUGAUGACAA